rnacentral:lncRNA from 1 species
UAUAUGGGUCAAGUGAAAUACCUAUCUAAUGAGUCACACAAACAGGGAAGGUGUGUUCGAAUAGCUAUUUUUUUACUGAAAGUACUUGACGACAGUCUUACAAGUUGGAUGAUGAAAAUGCAUAUCUUCGAAAAAUUCUAAUUUUUUGUGUGUGAUAACUAGGGUUUAUAGUCUUCAACCACUAAAAAAAUCUAGUCUGCCCUUCCACGAAAUAUUUAAUUAGAUUUUUUUAAAUGUUUAUGAUUUUUCGAAAAUUCCACCUAACAACCGAUCAGACAAUAGUUUAAGUUGAAUCAAUGCAGACAAGAUCAUUAACUGAUGCUCAUUAGCUAGUUGAUACAUUUGUCUUUUAAAAUAUAACUGACAUAUAAGGAUCG